rnacentral:tRNA from 1 species
GCAUUGGUGGUUCAGUGGUAGAAUUCUCACCUCCCAUGCAGGGAACCCGGGUUCAAGUCCCAGCCUACGCA